rnacentral:rRNA from 1 species
AGAACGAACGCUGGCGGCAUGCCUAACACAUGCAAGUCGAACGAGACCUUCGGGUCUAGUGGCGCACGGGUGCGUAACGCGUGGGAAUCUGCCCUUGGGUCCGGGAUAACAGUUGGAAACGACUGCUAAUACCGGAUGAUGACUUCGGUCCAAAGAUUUAUCGCCCAGGGAUGAGCCCGCGUCGGAUUAGCUAGUUGGUGGGGUAAAGGCCUACCAAGGCAACGAUCCGUAGCUGGUCUGAGAGGAUGAUCAGCCACACUGGGACUGAGACACGGCCCAGACUCCUACGGGAGGCAGCAGUGGGGAAUAUUGGACAAUGGGCGGAAGCCUGAUCCAGCAACGCCGCGUGAGGGAUGACGGCCUUCGGGUUGUAAACCUCUUUCAGCACCGACGAAGCUUUUGGGUGACGGUAGGUGCAGAAGAAGGACCGGCCAACUACGUGCCAGCAGCCGC